UAUAAUCUAUGAAUAAGAGCAGUAGGUUGAACAUUUACAAACUGUACAACAAAGACUCAAAUACAACAAGAGCUUGAGACACAAGUGACGACUGAGAAGGUCCCUAUUGCAAGUGAGGCUUUGGUUGACAAAUUUCUUCAAGAGAGAUUUAGAGUUAUUUGUAUAUGGAAGCUUAGGCUUUGUUGUUGUAGCUUGUUUCAUAUAUAUAAGACAAGAAAACCUAGGACUCUUCUCAUUGGCUGAGCAAAAAGAUACUGCAUCUUUGCUACCAACUUUCUGCCAACAGUACUUUUUCCAGUUGUAUUGAUGACUGAGUGAAUGAGAUGUAGGCGUGAUGCACUUGGUCCCUGAGCAGUUCCACAUUUAUCUAUUCAUGAACUAGGUGCCAACGUUGGUAGUUUGUCAAUUAUCAAAACUAAGGACUCAACAAUUUCUCCCUUUUUGAUGAUGAAAAACUUAUACUCUAUUCUUCCAUAGGAUCCGCUACAUCUCACUGCUUCCCUUUGUCACUGAUAUCACUCUUUAUAGAUCCCUUCCCCCGGUCACUGAUACCAUCAACUACACAUAUUUUCCCCUAUGUAUAGGAACCUAAUUCUUAGUGAUGAUCUUAUAUACAUUACAUUGUACCUCAUCUUCCCCCUUUUGGCAUCAUCAAAGAGAUAAAAUAGUAAACCACAUAAAGAUAAGCACACGUAUUAACUCAUGGCCAUUAAGGUUACACUGACAUGAGUAGGUAAAAUCAAAGAAAGAUAGAAUAAUGAUAGCAUCAAAACACAAGAUAUUCAUCAAUCAUUAAGAUCAACAUCAUACAAUAUCCAAAAGCAAGAGCAUUGUAAAUCAAGUACAGGUAAAACCACGACAAUAGAACAAGAAUAAAAUGGGGCUUAAAAAGGAACAUGAUAGAAUGACUGAAAAGAUGGGGCUUAAAAGGUCAGGGCGCGACAAGGACUAGGUUGAACAGACAUUAGGCAGAAGGAUCAGAAGGUGGAUUGGACAACUGGCAUGGAAGAAGGGUGAUUCUUUCAUUUUCAGCUGCAUAAUUCUUCAAUAGUUGUUGAGUCAGGUCCUCAACUUUAUCUUCCAAUUUCUGAACCUUGGCAUGCAAUAUUUCAUUCUCAAAAUGUAGACCCUCGCUUCCACCCAGUCCUUCCCCUUGAGCCUUCAAGAAGGCUGCCUUCAUAGUAGUAAUCUCAACAUCUUUCUACAUUAGGUGAGCAAUCAUCUCUUCCAACUCACUCAUCAACCUGAUCUAAACUUCAAUCAAGUCUACCACCACAGACUUCAACUUUACUCCACUUCUUCUAGAAAUGCACUCAUUUUUCUCCAAAGUAGACAAUGUGAACAUUUGCUUGACAGACCCAUCCUUCCAAAGUCCACACUAGACAUCAAAAUACGCAAACACACUAUUCAAAAGGAACUCGUAGGCUAAUCCAUGCUUACCACCCUUUGUCAUCAUCACCUUAAGCAUGUGUUCUAUCAUAAUAACAAAAAGGUUCACAGGCUUGAACUUUGUUAAAACUUCCAUGAGGAAUAGUUUGGGGCCUGUGACAGUAGUGCACUUCUCAAUCGCAGAAAAAGAGCCUUAUUAACUAAUUCAAACAAGAGUUGAUAUUCCCCUUUGAUGAACUUCUUUGUCAAUGACAAUGUUCAAAUCGUCCAACUUGCCAAUGUGUCUCAAGAAUUUUUUAGAGCCACACUCAUCCUUUAGAUUCUGGACCCUUGAUUGGGCACUCCCAACACUUCAGCUAACACUUGCUCAUCAAAAGAAAUAUUCACAUCAUGCACUUACGUUUUCAAGUAGAGACUAUCAUCAGAGAAUGUGAGGUUGUGAUAAAAUAUCCUCACUUUCUUUUCAUGAAUAGUAGGAAUAAGAGGCUCAAACAAGUUCUCUUAACUCUGAAACUUCAUCAUUUCAAUCAACUCACCCUUACCCAACAUAGUCGUAAUCUCAGGAUCAAACACACGUCCCCUCAAAACUUCCUGGGUCUUGAGUAUUUCUUGACUUUCUUAUCUUGUGAGCACCUCGCCUUUGACUAUAGAAGUAAAACCUGUGUCACUAGGACCUGGUUCCUUAACUGAUACACAGAUCCUUUAGAGGAUCUGGUAGAUUUAGGAUUGGGACCUGGUCUCUUGGUACUUUGUAACUCAUCCCUUUUUUUUGCUACCAUUGGUAGAUACUGGUUCCUUGAUUAGCACCCCCUUGGUCAUUUCCUUUUUUGGUGGUAGAAUAGUGCCAGCUUUAACUUUUGCCCUUUGAGCAACUAUUUUUCUUACCGUAUCCUCAUUACUUUCUUCUUCAUACUCUCUUUCACUCUCAGUCUAUGACUCUUCUACAGGCACAAUAUCCGUUGUAGGUAUAUCAAACUCAACAACAACUCUUUUCUUUAAAUUUUUCUUCUAUUGGGUGCUACGCAUACUCUCAACCAGGGCAGCCUCAAACAACUUAUGGGAGCUCGAUCUGGUCCCAUGAACUUUACUGGUUUUGAUGGUAGACUAGCAGUGGAAAACACUCUUUGUUUGGUGAAUUUUGAUUUCAAGGGCUUGUCAUCACUGUCAGUGUGUUCCUCUUCCUCCUCGACCUUGUCAGUCACUUCCAGAGUAGGUGACAAGAUUUUAUUUUCUUCCUCAUGGUGUCAUGUUGCAAGGGAUCUAGGGGUUUUGUCUUACUUUGAAGGAGUGGGAGUAUUGGAUAUUUGAGGAGCCUCCUCACUUAAGGCAGUCAACCCCUAAAUAACAUUACCUCACUUCUUUUAUCCCUUUUUUGACUCGGAGGGUUGAAAAUCAUUGGUUUCGACUUUUUAAACUAUUUCAAAACUUUAAAGAAAAAUUUUAAAACAAUCUAAGUAAUGACAGAGUCGCCACUUAAUUUAUUUGAAAAGAAAUUAAGAAAACUUUUAAGGAAAAUCCUAAGUCUUAAAAUAGAAAAAGACUUAAGCUUUUAAGAAAUUCC
rnacentral:lncRNA from 1 species